GGCAGUGUAGCACAGUGGUAGAGCAUUUUCCUCACAUGUGUAAAGCCCUGGGUUUGAAUCCCAUCACUGCAA
rnacentral:tRNA from 1 species